CUCGAACGACGGGUACAUGGCGCGCGCCUCUCAAAAUCACAACAUUAUCACGGUAACAUUAUAAAAUAGAAAUGUGCCAACCCCCCCCCGCUUCGCCUGAGCUUUCCAGUGGUCCUACUCCAUUACAUCCCGGGAAGACCGUCACAGUGUUGCACUGUGUUGUCUCGCACGGAAAUUGACGAAUGAAAACAAGAGACCAAGAAGGAGAGAAGUUCCAACUCAGCGUACCGUCUACCCUCCGCACAGCUGGCCAGACACGGAGUGAAGUUUGUUAUGAAUAAACGUCGGAUCGUCGGAAACCGAAAGUAAACAGCUGCAGCAGUAAUGAAGCCAGAGAAGAGGAAUCCUACGACAGGAAUCCAUUUCAGUCUGCAUUCCUCCCGAUGUAGAGCUGAGAGCAGUCAGAGACAGAAAGCAACAGGCUACUGGAGAUUGACCCAUACACACACACACACACACACACACACACACACACAC